rnacentral:rRNA from 1 species
AUGAACGCUGGCGGCGUGCUUAACACAUGCAAGUCGAACGAGAAAUGAUAUUACGAUCUCUUCGGAGUGAUGAUUUUAUUUCGAGUGGCGGACGGGUGAGUAACGCGUGAGCAACCUGCCCUAUACCGGGGGAUACCAGUUGGAAACGACUGUUAAUACCGCAUAAGCGCACGAUAAGACAUCUUGUUGUGUGAAAAACUCCGGUGGUAUAGGAUGGGCUCGCGUAUGAUUAGCCAGUUGGCGGGGUAAAGGCCCACCAAAGCGACGAUCAUUAGCCGACCUGAGAGGGCGACCGGCCACAUUGGGACUGAGACACGGCCCAAACUCCUACGGGAGGCAGCAGUGGGGAAUAUUGCACAAUGGGCGAAAGCCUGAUGCAGCGACGCCGCGUGAGUGAGGAAGUAUUUCGGUAUGUAAAGCUCUAUCAGCAGGGAAGAAAGA